rnacentral:rRNA from 1 species
UACGGAGGGAGCUAGCGUUGUUCGGAAUUACUGGGCGUAAAGCGCACGUAGGCGGCUUUGUAAGUUAGAGGUGAAAGCCUGGGGCUCAACCCCAGAAUUGCCUUUAAGACUGCAUCGCUUGAAUCCAGGAGAGGUGAGUGGAAUUCCGAGUGUAGAGGUGAAAUUCGUAGAUAUUCGGAAGAACACCAGUGGCGAAGGCGGCUCGCUGGACUGGUAUUGACGCUGAGGUGCGAAAGCGUGGGGAGCAAACAGG